UUGUGCCAAAAUGACAUGUUUCGGUGAGAAACUUUAACGGUGCGUUUUGCUGAGAGCAAUUUUUUUCAACACACUGAGGCGAUGAGGGAGAGAGAAAGGAUCAGAGAGUCAGUGAGAGAGAGAGAGACUAGGGAAAUCACGUUGUGUUACAGACUUUCUCUGUUAAGGGAAAAAUGUUGGAUCAUGAAGAUUUUGGGUUUGUGGACACAAAUGGAGGAAGAGAAGGACGCUCUUUGGGGCUUAUAAGAGUCUGUCAGAGUGAUUUCCAAGCUCAAGUCGGUCUUCUAUAAUCUUUUUCAUUCUCAAAAUCUAAAUUUCUGACUUUAUCUGUGUUUGAAAUAGCUGUGUAAAAGUCAAUUUCUUUUUGGGUUUGUCUCAUA